rnacentral:rRNA from 1 species
GCGACCCCAGGUCAAGCGGGGCCACCCGCUGAGUU